rnacentral:rRNA from 1 species
UACGGAGGAUCCAAGCGUUAUCCGGAUUUAUUGGGUUUAAAGGGUGCGUAGGCGGCCUAUUAAGUCAGGGGUGAAAGACGGUAGCUUAACUAUCGCAGUGCCUUUGAUACUGAUGGGCUUGAAUACACUAGAGGUAGGCGGAAUGUGACAAGUAGCGGUGAAAUGCAUAGAUAUGUCACAGAACACCAAUUGCGAAGGCAGCUUACUAAGCUAUGAUUGACGCUGAGGCACGAAAGCGUGGGGAUCAAACAGG